UGGGGAAUAUUGCACAAUGGAGGGAACUCUGAUGCAGCGACGCCGCGUGAACGAAGAAGGCUUUCGAGUCGUAAAGUUCUUUUAUAUGGGAAGAUAAUGACGGUACCAUAAGAAAAAGCCCCGGCUAACUACGUGCCAGCAGCCGCGGUAAUACGUAGGGGGCUAGCGUUGUCCGGAAUCACUGGGCGUAAAGGGUUCGCAGGCGGAAAUGCAAGUCAGGUGUAAAAGGCAGUAGCUUAACUACUGUAAGCAUUUGAAACUGCAUAUCUUGAGAAGAGUAGAGGUAAGUGGAAUUUUUAGUGUAGCGGUGAAAUGCGUAGAUAUUAAAGAAUACCGGUGGCGAAGGCGACUUACUGGGCUCAUUCUGACGCUGAGGAACGAAAGCGUGGGUAGCAAACAGG
rnacentral:rRNA from 1 species